AUUAAGGUAGCAGAACCAGAAUUUAAUGCAAAAGGCCUAAGCCCUUUAAAUAGAGGUGCAAAUCCUCUUCUUAAUA
rnacentral:tRNA from 1 species